rnacentral:rRNA from 1 species
CGGUCUGUCAAGUCGGAUGUGAAAUCCCCGGGCUCAACCUGGGAACUGCAUUCGAAACUGGCAGGCUGGAGUCUUGUAGAGGGGGGUAGAAUUCCAGGUGUAGCGGUGAAAUGCGUAGAGAUCUGGAGGAAUACCGGUGGCGAAGGCGGCCCCCUGGACAAAGACUGACGCUCAGGUGCGAAAGCGUGGGGAGCAAACAGGAUUAGAUACCCUGGUAGUCCACGCUGUAAACGAUGUCGACUUGGAGGUUGUUCCCUUGAGGAGUGGCUUCCGGAGCUAACGCGUUAAGUCGACCGCCUGGGGAGUACGGCCGCAAGGUUAAAACUCAAAUGAAUUGACGGGGGCCCGCACAAGCGGUGGAGCAUGUGGUUUAAUUCGAUGCAACGCGAAGAACCUUACCUACUCUUGACAUCCAGAGAACUUAGCAGAGAUGCUUUGGUGCCUUCGGGAACUCUGAGACAGGUGCUGCAUGGCUGUCGUCAGCUCGUGUUGUGAAAUGUUGGGUUAAGUCCCGCAACGAGCGCAACCCUUAUCCUUUGUUGCCAGCGAUUCGGCCGGGAACUCAAAGGAGACUGCCAGUGAUAAACUGGAGGAAGGUGGGGGAUGACGUCAAGUCAUCAUGGCCCUUACGAGUAGGGCUACACACGUGCUACAAUGGCAUAUACAAAGAGAAGCGACCUCGCGAGAGCAAGCGG